AUUGAACGCUGGCGGCAGGCCUAACACAUGCAAGUCGAGCGGCAGCGGGAAAGUAGCUUGCUACUUUUGCCGGCGAGCGGCGGACGGGUGAGAAAUGCCUGGGAAAUUGCCCAGUCGAGGGGGAUAACAGUUGGAAACGACUGCUAAUACCGCAUACGCCCUACGGGGGAAAGCAGGGGACCUUCGGGCCUUGCGCGAUUGGAUAUGCCCAGGUGGGAUUAGCUAGUUGGUGAGGUAAUGGCUCACCAAGGCGACGAUCCCUAGCUGGUCUGAGAGGAUGAUCAGCCACACUGGAACUGAGACACGGUCCAGACUCCUACGGGAGGCAGCAGUGGGGAAUAUUGCACAAUGGGGGAAACCCUGAUGCAGCCAUGCCGCGUGUGUGAAGAAGGCCUUCGGGUUGUAAAGCACUUUCAGCGAGGAGGAAAGGUUGAUGCCUAAUACGUAUCAACUGUGACGUUACUCGCAGAAGAAGCACCGGCUAACUCCGUGCCAGCAGCAGCCGCCGUAA
rnacentral:rRNA from 1 species